UAAGUGUAUUAAAUUAAAACAAAAAUUUCGGUUCAAAAAAUAACAAAAAAAAGAAAAGGAUUCUAAAUUCUAAAUUCCUAACAGUGUACUUUUGGCGUUGUUUUUGUUUUUGUGUUUUGUUUUUCGAUUCACACUCGCACACACACAACUAAUUCACGUUAUUUGUUGUGUUGCGAAGAUGUAUGGACUGGAGCUAUUAUUUUUAUCAUCCAUCCUUCCAAGGAUUUACGUUAUCCGAUGCGGUAAUGAGAAAGAGUUGAAUGUAUAUAUAUAAUAUAUAUGUAUGCAGGCAGGCGGGCGGCGAUUGGAGAUUGAUGGAAGUGCUGGACUUACUGAACUCACACCCAUCCAACUGACUCAACUACCCUCCCACCCACUCAACCAACCACUCACCCUCCGAACACAUCCAACUCGUCCCACUCGAAGAUAGCUUCAUAGAGGAGCAGUAACGGUACCCGUUAAGUGAGUUUGCGUUACUCGUCCAAGGAUAUGGAAAGACAAAAAGAAGAAGAAGAAUAUAUACUCAAGCUAGAAAAAAUGAAUUGUUAUCGUUUAUAGUUUACAUGGUUUGUGUAUUUCCUAUAUGACACUUGCAACUUUUAUUCGUAAAAAAAUUUUGCAAUUUUUUUCCAUUAAUUUAUUGGAGAAAAGAAACAAGAAAUUGUGUUCAGAUACUAGAUCUCUGUACCAUUUUUUUAUUUUCUAUUUUUGGUCAAAAAUAUUGAAGAAAAAGUUGUUCUACAUAUGUGAUUAACGGUAACCAAUUAACUGGAUUUGCGUUAAUCACGUUUAUUCGGAAAUAUAGAAACGUGGAUGAAAAGCUUGAAGGAAAAUCAAAAAAAAAAAAAAAUAAUUUAUACAUAGAAAUAAGUCGCGCACACUCUUAAUUAAUAAUAACCUGGGGGGGAAUGGAAUCCAGAUCUUUUGGUUCUGCUGCGGUUACUUCUUCAAGGAUAUUCACACGGAUGUCCAUGAUGUUUCUAUUCGGAUUUAAAACGGAACCGGAUCUCAUUCGGCCUAUGGUGGAUUUGUGCUUAGCGUUUUUAAUCAGUUAUCGGUUUUUGUAAUCGAUUUCGAUCGGAUAGAAUGAAGUGCAGUUCUUCCCUACUAAUAAAGCAUUUAUAGUUGUACUAUAA